AUUGAACGCUGGCGGCAUGCCUUACACAUGCAAGUCGAACGGUAACAGGUCUUCGGAUGCUGACGAGUGGCGAACGGGUGAGUAAUACAUCGGAACGUGCCCAGACGUUGGGGAUAACGAGGCGAAUGCUUUGCUAAUACCGCAUACGAUCUAAGGAUGAAAGCCGGGGACCGCAAGGCCUAGCGCGGUUGGAGCGGCCGAUGGCAGAUUAGUUAGUUGGUGGGAUAAAAGCUUACCAAGCCGACGAUCUGUAGCUGAGCUGAGAGGACGACCAGCCACACUGGAACUGAGACACGGCCCAGACUCCUACGGGAGGCAGCAGUAGGGAAUUUUGGACAAUGGGCGAAAGCCUGAUCCAGCAAUGCCGCGUGCGGGAUGAAGGCCUUCGGGUUGUAAAAUGCUGUUGUACGGAACGAAAAGGUUCGGGAUAAUACCUGGAGGUCAUGACGGUACCGUAUGAAUAAGCACCGGCUAACUACGUG
rnacentral:rRNA from 1 species